UGGCAGCAUUCAACCCUCUUGGUGAGCUGCAGGAAUGUGCUUUCCAUUGCAGUGCACCAGCUCCAUGUACUGAUUUUGGGUGUGAACUUGAUGGGGUUGGAGGAAACUCGACUCGGCCAUCAAGCUCACCACAAUAUAACAUGAAAAGUGAAAAUUGCUGCACACAACAGUCUGCCGUCUGCACCGGGAGGCAAGGCAGCUCAAAGCCCAGGCUGUUACAACUCCUGGGCAGUUUUUGCCCAGAGCCAGCAAUUUUUUAGAUCCAAUAGGGAUGGAUUUUUUCUGAGGUCAGGUUCAACAUGCUGCAAGAUGCCAAGAUCUAAGCCUAGUAGGAGAUAUGGGUUACAAGAGAGGAGGUUUGCUCUGGCCUUAUACUAUCAAAGUCCAAAUGCUAAUAGAUUUCUAAGCACAGUAUUUCACUUGCCUUCAGUUUCAAUACUUCACUUAUGACUCAGGGGUAUUUCAGUAAAUGUUGGCUGGAGCAAACAGACUCUGACAGCCCUGCACCAAAGAGCACAGGCUUUGUCAAAAGAUUAGAUAAUUCGUGGAAUUUGCCAUUAUUUAGUAUUACUUUUGUUAUGGCAAGAAAUUUUUUCUAUAUACCUUGCCAAAUAUUGCAAGUAAUGCACCAUUGUUGGUCUUGCCUGUUAUAAAUCAGAUCUUGUUCAAUUAACAAGCUUUGGGUGUCUGCCACUUUCCAGUUGUAAUGCAAGGAAUCAUUUAUCUUCCCUGCCAGAUAUCACAUGUAAUGCACCAUUGUUGGUUUUGCCUGUUAUAAAUCAGAUCUUGUUCAGUUAACAAGCUUUAGGUGUCUGCCACUUUCCAGUUGUAAUGCAAGGAAUCCCCUGCCAGAUAUCGCAUGUAAUGCACCAUUGUUGGUUUUGCCUGUUAUAAAUCAGAUCUUGUUCAGUUAACAAGCUUUAGGUGUCUGCCACUUUCCAGUUGUAAUGCAAGGAAUCCCCUGCCAGAUAUCGCAUGUAAUGCACCAUUGUUGGUUUUGCCUGUUAUAAAUCAGAUCUUGUUCAGUUAACAAGCUUUAGGUGUCUGCCACUUUCCAGUUGUAAUGCAAGGAAUCCCCUGCCAGAUAUCGCAUGUAAUGCACCAUUGUUGGUUUUGCCUGUUAUAAAUCAGAUCUUGUUCAGCUCACAAGCUUUGAAUAUCUGCCAUUGUUUAUUUCAGGUGUAAUGCUUGGAAGCAUUUGUUCUCUUCCUUACCCAACAGUAUGCAAUGCUUUAUUGUGGAUUUUGCCUGUUAUGUUUAAUCUUGUUCAGGUAACAAGUUUUUGGGGUCUUCCUUACCUAAUAUGUGCUGCAGUGACACUUGGCUUGGUUUCAUAAUGUGAAAUACAGCAUGUAAUUUCAUCACACUAAGUGUCUAUCAUCACGUGUCUGGCAUCAUUAAUGUGGCUUCCAGGAGUAAUCUUGUUUGUAUUACGGCAUGCAAUUUUUUUCUGCUUUAUACGAUAUACAUAAUCACAUAGGUAUGAUUUACGAAAUGUAAUGGCAGUUGAUAUUCUUGACUAAUGCCUCAUAAGCCUUGUGAAAAAUAAUGCUUUUUUGAAGGGGGGGGGGGGGGGGGAGCAGAGAGUGGUUUGUUUGGUUGGCCAGUUCAAGGAGUUUCAUAUCAAAUGAUUUUAUUACAUCCAACUUUAAUGUGUGCUAAAAACAUAUAUUUUAUUACAUCCAACUUUAAUGUGUGGUUCCUGCAAUAAAUGCUACAUGUUUACUGAUGUAGCCUAUGAAAUACAUAUCACUCUCUGCCCUGUAAUUUAAUUGGUGUGUCACAUACUGCAACAUAACUUUCCUGCUAUUUUCUUACACUAUGAGUUGCCUUAUUUUGUCUCAUUUGCUUUUAUCAUAUGUACCUCUGCUGCUUAGUUGUGCCUACUGAGCUUAAUAUCUUCAUGACCCUGACACCAAGGUCAGAGCUUGUGAGAUCAUACUGUGUCCUACAUUCCAUUUUCACCUCCAGGCUUGGCUGUCUCCCAGGACCACCAAGUUAUUGCAUUCCAUUUAAGACAACUCAUGUACGUGUUACCUUCUUAAUGUCCUCCAUCAUGUAUUUCAGCAUGUUUUAUGAUGCUUUGCUCUUAUAUUGAUGUGCCUUGCAACAUUUUUAGACAGUUUUCAUUGUAUAUAACGCACCAUUGUUGGUUUUGCCUGUUAUAAAUCGGGUCAUGUUCAGUUAACAAGCUUUGAGUGUCUCCCAUUGCUUAUUUCAGUUGUAAUGCUUAGAAGCUUUUGUUCUCUGCCCUGUCAAGCAGUAUGCAAUGCUUGCCAUUAUCUGGCACUUGUACAGUUAGUAUGAUAUUUUUACUCAGCUAAGAGCAUUUAGCAAAAGGUAAAGGUAAGGCUGGGGGCAUACGCUGUAGCAGCGCGUGGCCUCGGUGCUCAUCUCUGUAACAUUGGCCCUUGAGCCUGUGGUGUUAGGGAACCCAUUACCCUGGGACACAGGACCAGUGUGACAUCCGGGUUACCACAGUUGCAAAGGCAUUAUAGUAAUCUAGCAUGCAUAGAAUGUUGUAUGCUUUGCCUGUAUUUAAAGCACUGGAUAUGUUUCCUACACACACACCACACA